CGUAGGCGGCAAGCGUUGUCCGGAAUUAUUGGGCGUAAAGGGAGCGCAGGCGGGAAACUAAGCGGAUCUUAAAAGUGCGGGGCUCAACCCCGUGAGGGGUCCGAACUGGUUUUCUUGAGUGCAGGAGAGGAAAGCGGAAUUCCCAGUGUAGCGGUGAAAUGCGUAGAUAUUGGGAAGAACACCAGUGGCGAAGGCGGCUUUCUGGACUGUAACUGACGCUGAGGCUCGAAAGCUAGGGGUAGCGAACGGGAUU
rnacentral:rRNA from 1 species